CCUACGGGAGGCAGCAGUGGGGAAUAUUGCGCAAUGGGCGAAAGCCUGACGCAGCGACGCCGCGUGAGGGAUGAAGGUCUUCGGAUCGUAAACCUCUGUCAGCAGGGAAGAACGGUCACUGUGCUAAUCAGCAGUGAAUUGCCGGUACCUGCACAGGAACCACCGGCUAACUCCGUGCCAGCAGCCGCGGUAAUACGGAGGGUGCGAGCGUUAAUCGGAAUUACUGGGCGUAAGGCGCUCGUAGGCGGUAUGGCAAGUCAAGGGUGAAAUCCCCGCGCUCAACGUGGGAACUGCCUUUGAAACUGGCAGACUGGAGUGUGUGAGAGGAUGGUGGAAUUCCAGGUGUAGGAGUGAAAUCCGUAGAUAUCUGGAGGAACAUCAGUGGCGAAGGCGACUAUCUGGCACAUAACUGACGCUGAGGAGCGAAAGCGUGGGUAGCAAACAGGAUUAGAUACCCUUGUAGUC
rnacentral:rRNA from 1 species